CCGGAUCGGUCUUCGAGCGCAGUGCCUGGCCCUGGCGGGCCACGUCCGAUCCCCGGGCCCGCAGCGAGGGAGCGCGAAGGUCGGCCUUCAGUUCUGCAGAUGGGAGAUUGAGGGGUCCACAUGGAUACAGAUGGCCCCUAGGAGCUGACAUUGGCUCCUGGUGACAGGCAGCAAGGAAAUAGGGACCUCAGUCCUCCAGUCACAAAAAAAGGGCCCGAAUUCUGCUAACAACCCAAAUGAACUUGGAAGAGGAUCCUGAGCUUCAGCACCUACACCUUAACUUCAGCCUGUGAGGCCCUCAGCAGAAAACCCAGCUACACCGGGCCCAGAUUUAAGACUAGCACAACUGUGAGCUGGAAGUCAAAGAAGUGUCUUUCACAUACACACAAUCGCAAGCAUCUAUGAUGGAGUCAAGAGACUGAAGAUCUUGAAACAUGGAGGUCUGCAGUCCCUGUUGUUUCUAUUAAUGGAAACAUGGUUCUAUUUUAAGCCAAAUUGAUCUUCUGAUUGUAGAAUUGCAGCAAAUACUCAGAAGGCCUUGCAAACAAAAGAGUAAACACAUGGAGAACUGGUCCCUCUGCCAGAUUCAGCGAACACCAUUUUUAUAUCCUAAUUGCCGGGAAUGGGGACAGCUGCAUCAUUGUUUAAAACACACACUCAUGCACAAUUAAGCCAAGAAUAAAUGUCAACACUGGCACAAUCUGCUAAAUAACUGAUAACUGAUGGGCAUUACUCAUGCUGUGAGCGUUGUCUCCAAUAGAAAAUGGAAAGAUUCCUAUUUGGAAAAGAUCUUAGAGGUUUCUACUGGUUUAAGAAAGCUGGGUUUACCAAGGGGGAAAGGGGGGUGGUGGGAUGAAUUGGGAGAUUGGAAUUGACAU